CGCUAGGAGAGGACACUGCCCUCCACCACAGCAGUCACACGGGAAUAAACUUUCUCCAGCCAUGCAGGACAAGAUCUUUUGACAGAAUAAAUGGUAAAUAUUUAAUGCAAACUGAAAUGAAGAGACAAUGAAAAAAUGCAAGGGAAAUAGGUUCUUCAUUUCAGAAUGUUUUUGGAGAGACUUAAACAGUAACUCCCAGCCUGCUGAUUGCAGAAAUUGAGUCAUGGAGAGGCAAGUGUAUCCACCCAUCUCUUGAAAUAACUUCUGUGUCUGGGACAGUGCAGUGAGCUAGGCCAUUUGGGGCAUUUCAACAUUUUGUAGCCUAAACAAUCACAGCAAGAUAAUCAAGCAA